GCCUGAGUGGCUCAGUCGGUUAAGCGUCCGUCUUUGGCUCAGGUCAUGAUCUUGCAGUUUGUGGGUUCGAGCCCCACGUCAGGCU
rnacentral:tRNA from 1 species